rnacentral:rRNA from 1 species
GAAUUCGCCCUUGGAAGGAGAAUCGUAACAAGGUUUCCGUAGGUGAACCUGCGGAAGGAUCAUUG